GGGAAAUGAGGAGUGGUUGGAUCUCACCAAUUUUGUGAGUUGAGUGUUCCGCCCACAGCCUGGUUACGACAAUUGGGCACUCUCCCAAUUCCAAUCUGAUCCC
rnacentral:snoRNA from 14 species